AGAAAAGAAAGAAAAGAAACAGAAUAGAAGAGACGAAACAGAGAAAGAAACAGAGAGCAAAACGGGCAGAGAAGGAAGGAAAGAAAGAAAGAAAGAAAGAAAAAGAAAAAGGGAAAUUUAAGGUUUUAAGGUUCCAAGCUCAAUUGCUAAUGUCGUGCAAGAGUCAUUGCCGAGAAAGGAAAGGAGAAAGUGGACAAGGAGUGACUCGAGAGAAAUUCCGGUUAGUA